GAUGAACGCUGGCGGCGUGCCUAAUACAUGCAAGUCGAGCGAACAGACGAGGAGCUUGCUCCUCUGACGUUAGCGGCGGACGGGUGAGUAACACGGGGAUAACCUACCUAUAAGACUGGGAUAACUUCGUGAAACCGGAGCUAAUACCGGAUAAUAUAUUGAACCGCAUGGUUCAAUAGUGAAAGACGGUUUUGCUGUCACUUAUAGAUGGAUCCGCGCCGCAUUAGCUAGUUGGUAAGGUAACGGCUUACCAAGGCAACGAUGCGUAGCCGACCUGAGAGGGUGAUCGGCCACACUGGAACUGAGACACGCUCCAGACUCCUACGGGAGGCAGCAGUAGGGAAUCUUCCGCAAUGGGCGAAAGCCUAACGGAGCAACGCGGCGUGAGUGAUGAUGGUCUUCGGAUCGUAAAACUCUGUUAUUAGGGAAGAACAAAUGUGUAAGUAACUAUGCACGUCUUGACGGUACCUAAUCAGAAAGCCACGGCUAACUACGUG
rnacentral:rRNA from 1 species